UUCUUUGAUAAUUGUCAGCUGCUUUUAUCAAAUUCCAAACCAUUGUCCAGCAAACACUAUAGAAAUGUUUGAACAGUUGGAUUUCAAACAUUUUCAUUUAGUGGGGUGGUGCUUUACCAAUGGUACAGCUCUAAGCAAGUGAACA
ensembl:misc_RNA